rnacentral:lncRNA from 1 species
UACUAACUUAGUACCAUGUUGGACAAAAAUGAGAAAGAGGAUGAAUCGUUCAUCGUCUUUAGAAAAUGAUGAAUCAUUUAUCAAUUUUUAGAUUCAUAUUGUUGUUUAUAAUUUUAUUUUUUUGGUAUGGAUUGAUUAUGAGCAUGUUUGUGAGGUUGUUAGACUAAUAUGCGUAUUAUUACGAGUUGAAUUAGAAUACAUCUAAAAGCACCAAGUUUUUAGCCUUUAGAUAUAUCCCUUGACUACUAGUAACCUUUGGAUCAAAUGCUAUUCCACUUACCACCAUUCAAUUCAAGUGGGCUACUAUAAUCCUAGCCCUAUUCUAGCUCAAUUUUUAUUAUUAUAAUUUUUGUUCAAUUGUUAGGAUUGUAUAAGCUAGUAGGUAGUUAAAUUUUUUUUGGAUUGUUAGAACUGUAUGUGAUUUAUUAAAUUUUUAUGUAAUUAUUAGAAUUACGUAUGAAAGAAACAAUGAAUCAUUCAUCAUUUACUUUCUUUAGAAAAAGAUAGUAAAUGAUCUUCGUCCUUUUAAUUUUAUUAACAUUUUUCCAUCCUGGCAUUGAGUUCUACAAAAUCAGAUUAUUUGAGCAAAUAAAAUUAUGGUAAGAUCAUUUGGCAGCCAAACUUAAAAAUAGAAUUUGAGAAAAAAAUAUAAUUUUAUUUACCGCACUUUUUCCAACUUAUGUCAAAAUAAAUAGUUAAAAUUCUCACUCACAUUAAAACUCUACUUUUCGUUUAAGUUUUUCCGAUCCAAACAUGCUAUUUAUGUAAAAUGUUUUUAUUGAAAGAAUUACUACAAUAAAUAAGCCCAAGCACCCUCAUUGUGUUAUGUGAAGUAAAGAGUAUAAUCAGUGGUAAUUGAUAAAUUCGUAUGAAAAUAGUAUUUUUUUUAAAAAAUUUAUUUUAUAUUAAUGUGCAACAUAGAAAUUUUUUUAUUAUAUAUUAUUAUUUCUAUAUGGAAUAAUUGUGACAUAGAAGGCUCUUCCAACUAUAUCUCAUAAAUUAUCCCGAAUAGAAAAAAAAAAAUCCAAGCAAAGAUUUUUCAUGACAUGCAAAAAUGCAAGAACAAAAUUGUUCUAAAACAUCAAUACAACAUAGAAGUUAUCAAAUAAGAAAUAACCCUUAAUUGGACAUUUUUUUAUCUUCCAUGGCACAAUAGAAUUGGUUUAGAGCAAAACUUAUAAUAUGGAAUAACUCUUAGAAACAACACAUUUUUCAACUUUAGAGUCCUAUUUGGCCAUCAGAACAAGUUUUUUUGAAAAUUACUUGUUUGGUGUGAAAAUUCUAUUCAGUAUUUGAAAGUUAGAAGUUUGAUUUUAAUUUCUUGAAAGAUCUUGAUAUAUAUAAUUUGAUAUUUGAUAGAAAAGCAUAUUUCGCCUAUAACGUAAUUUCACCUAAUAAAAUAAUUUAUUUUAUUCUGAAAAAAAAUAAUUUAAAGUUGGAAUACAAUAUAACAUUUUAGACAUUUGAUUUACAGUCCUCACUACCAAAUAUAUAAACAUCUUGAGUGAAUCAAAAAGAUCUAUGGGAUAAGAUAUCUGCACAUUCAAAUAGGGUCUAUAUUUUUUAACUAACGCUUUCUCAAUCAAUAUCUUUUUAAUAUUUGAAUAGUUAUACUUAUUUAAAUUAAAAAUUUUGUUAAACUAUACCUCCUGUUACCUAUUAAUACUUUAAUCACUAUAACAUUGAGUCCGGCUGGGAUACUAUCGAUAGCACGAAGCAUUUGGUACUAUCAAAUUUUCUGCCGUUAGAUUUAGUUCUUUUAUCAUUUUCAUCCGUUCGAUUAUAUUAUUCAACCAAACACCCGCUCAACUCCAGGGGAACCACAUCAUCCUAACUAUAUAUCUUUUAAUCCAAUGGUGAAAAACUUAAUAGCACAAGUCGUUCAUGCUAUUAAUAGUAUUUCAACCUAGCUCCUAUAACAUUAUUUGCUAAAAGCAAUUAAAAUUAUUGUUUAAAGAUCACUAAUAAAAUUUUAAUUUGGCGGACUUAAAAUAUUAUUCCUCCAACAAAUUAGGUGAAACAUAUUAGAAGUUUCACAAAAGGGGCAAUUGCCUAUAUACCCCUGAAAAGUUUCCGGUUUUCUUAUUUUUAAAAUUAACCACUUACAUAUUAUAGGCAUAUUUAGUGCAUAGACUUUAUUAACGGCUUAAGUAAAAAAUCGGCAUAAAAAGUUGAUUAAAUUUUUAAUUUUCUACUUAAUAUAGACAUGGCUUAAAAAUGGCUUAGGCUUAAUUGAUUGAUAUGGAGAUCGUCUUAGGCUUAGGCUUAAUCGACUUAAAAAAUAGGGCUUUAAAAUUAACCACUUACAUAUUAUAGGCAUAUUUAGUGCAUAGACUUUAUUAACGGCUUAAGCAAAAAAUCGGCAUAAAAAGUUGAUUAAAUUUUUAAUUUUCUACUUAAUAUAGACAUGGCUUAAAAAUGGCUUAGGCUUAAUUGAUUGAUAUGGAGAUCGUCUUAGGCUUAGGCUUAAUCGACUUAAAAAAUAGGGCUUUAAAAUUAACCACUUACAUAUUAUAGGCAUAUUUAGUGCAUAGACUUUAUUAACGGCUUAAGCAAAAAAUCGGCAUAAAAAGUUGAUUAAAUUUUUAAUUUUCUACUUAAUAUAGACAUGGCUUAAAAAUGGCUUAGGCUUAAUUGAUUGAUAUGGAGAUCGUCUUAGGCUUAGGCUUAAUCGACUUAAAAAAUAGGGCUUUAAAAUUAACCACUUACAUAUUAUAGGCAUAUUUAGUGCAUAGACUUUAUUAACGGCUUAAGCAAAAAAUCGGCAUAAAAAGUUGAUUAAAUUUUUAAUUUUCUACUUAAUAUAGACAUGGCUUAAAAAUGGCUUAGGCUUAAUUGAUUGAUAUGGAGAUCGUCUUAGGCUUAGGCUUAAUCGACUUAAAAAAUAGGGCUUUAAAAUUAACCACUUGCAUAUUAUAGGCAUAUAGACUUUAUUAACGGCUUAAGCAAAAAAUCGGUAUAAAAAGUUGAUUAAAUUUUUAAUUUUCUGCUUAAUAUAGAAAUGGCUUAAAAAUGGCUUAGACUUAAUUGAUUGAUAUGGAGAUUGGUGGUUCCAACCAAAUCGACGCUAGCUAGAGUAGACAAAUAGACGAGCGAGGGCUGCACGAAAUAAUUAAUUAACUAUAAACUUCCCGUUUAAUUUUUUCAUAAACGAUAUACUUCCCAUAUAUUCUUUUCAAUCAAUGCCAUGUUCCCAUAUAACUUUACCCGUUUUACCAUUAAAAGGUCUCUAUUGCCGUCGAGUGACUGCCUUGAAUUGAUGUCCCCAUAUAAUCUUUCUGAACCUUGUAUUCUUCCCAUAAAAGUUAUAAUCGGAAGAUUCUCCCCAUNGCUUCCGGCACGCAGACGGCCUCCGGCGAGAUGGGAUCGUCGUUGCAGCCCUCUUGCUCCCGGCGCCGGCCAAGACGGCGGAGGAGGAGGACGAUGACGACGAGAGCGGCGGAGGAGGAGCUCGUGGAGGAGCCGAUCCUGGAAUGGAGGAGCUCCUGGAGGGCACGGAGCUUGCGCUUCAAAAGGGCGGAGAAGUUGGCGAUGGUGGAGGCGCGCGGGGAGGGGACCAAGGGGAGGAGGUGGUCGCCCCAGCGGAAGCGCCUGGAGAGGACGACUUCGAGGAGGGACGGGAGGGAGUCGAGGGAGGGGCGAGGAAAGGAGGAGCGGGGGGUCGAAGGGGUCGCCGUCCUCUCCGCGACGAUGGGUUGGGGUCGGGGUUGGGGACGACGAUAGGGGGAGGAGGGAGAAGGAGAAUGACGAAGAGGAUGAGGAGGAUAACUUAAGGAAUUAGUAUAAUGUGGUAGGGGCAAAAUAGGUAUUUUAUUUAGAUUUUAACUCUAGUAUACAUUUAACCCAUGUUUAACCUGAGUUAAGCUAACAGAGGAUAACUGCAGGGAUAUUUUAGAAUAACGGUGGAACAUAUGAGGGGCAUUUUAGAAAGAAAAAAAAAGCAAGGGUAGAUCGGAUAUAUCCGAGCGUAUGAGGGGUAUAUAGGCAAUUAUCCCUCAAUUAAAUUACUUACAACGUACUAAAUAUAUCUACUUUUGUUGUCUUUUUGUGAAGGGAUAAUUGCUUAUUUAAAAUUCAUAACAUAAUUAGAUAAAAUUAUUCAGAUAAAAAAAAUUAAAAUUUGAAAGGCAUCAAAAAAGAGAAAAAAAAAAAGAAAACCAGGGGGAAUUUCAAAUAUGCUACAGUUGAGGGGUUUCUCCACAAAUCAUAACCAAAACAUAAGUAUUCAGUAUUCAGUAAUGGUGGAAAGUGGGUUCUUCUUUUUCAUUUUCCUGAGCAUAGUGGUGACAACAAUGGGCUUACGACAGAGAAAAAGACAGGGAGCAGGACAACAAAAUCGGCACCAACACAAUUAUAAGGGUUAAAAAAUUAUCCUCACCUUAAACACAUUAAAUUGCUUAAAAUUAUUGGCCUGAUAAAGCAAACCACUCAUAGCACUUCAUCCUCUUCUGUGUGGAUUGUCUGCAGUGCGACAAUCAAUCAAGACUGUAUACAUAUAGAGAGAGAGAGAAUUUAGCUCUAUAAAAGUAAAGAAACUCAAUGAGCCAUCCAACGUCUCAAAAUUCGAACAAUACUAAUAAAAGAGACUUAAUGGGACACGCCGUUACUUAAUAAUGCUCUACGGAUCUUAAGAUGAUCCGACGGUUAAAAAUCACGAACACAUUGAGCUCCCGUACUUUUUUUAACUCUCUCUCUCUCUCUCUAUAUAUAUAUAUAUAUUGAAAGUAAAAUUAAUCUAUGAAAUACCUCAAUUCCGAUUCGAAAAUCGUGAUAAAAUAGGAUCAAACCAAACCACUCGCUCCAACGGAUCAAAUGCAAGAUCACAAGAUGGAAAUUGCACUAGUUUCCACAACCCAAAUGUCAAAUCCUCCAAGACGAGAGUAAACUUUAAGAAUUCAGUGAUUGGGAGAAAAUCUCAUUGGGAGAAGAAGAAGCAGAAAAGUAAGUGUCUUUUUUUGUUUUUUUUUUUUUUGUUUUUUUUGUUUUUUUUAUGUUACAUCCCUCCUUUCUCUCUGCACGUUUGUAACUGCUCGUACUGGGUGGUUUCCCAACCAACUAAGGAAACCACCUCUUAAUGGGUUGGGUCGGAUUUGCCCAUCAUGGGCGACCCGAAACCCGAUUAAAAAACCAACAUCUCCCACUCGCACGUGAUGGGCAAACAAUUCCCAUUAUCUUGGUGAUUUUCAUACUGACAAAUGGGUCGUGUGACCCGCGAGCCAACUCAUAAGCCUAUCUAUGCACCUGUUAGAGAUACAUAAUAGCUGUGAAAACCAAAAUGAUAUUUUAUUCUUACCCAUAUCAUGACUCGCUAUGCCCUAAACAAAAUUAGUUAUGUCAAAUUAAGUAUACCUAAUCCCUCAAAAUGGCUACACUUAAUCUUUCUUUUCUUACUAUGUAUUCACAAUUAUGCUCCAACUUUUCUACAAAAGCAACAUAAGUGGUCGACCGGUGAAUACAUAUGCUUGACAUAAUCUAAAAUGUCUUCCUUUUGUUCUCAUACUUAUCAGUUUUAGACCAACCACUUUCCUAGACAUGCCCCAUAAGGCUAAUUAUUUCAUCACCGCUGGAAACAUGCUAAAGUAGCAAACAUUGAUCUAUUAUAUCAGAAUAUAGACAUAAGUUACUAAGGGCACUUAAGAGACCAUUGUAUAUUUAAGGUCUCGAGGAACUCACACAAUAAGAAUGCAGGGAUUCUAUUUAUUUAACCUCAUUUUCCUCAUAGUCACUUUUACACACGCGGUAUGAAACGCAUGUUAUGGUGUAAUUUCUCCUCUAAGGAGCGUAUGUCAAAUAAAAUCAUAAACACCGUACAGAUUUCAGUUAAACACCUCAUUGCAUCUAACUCGAGUUCUCUAUACAACAAUUUUAUCGUAUUGUCUAUCAGAGAUCUCACAUCUGGUAACUCAGGCUAACAUGAUUGUGGGGUCAUCAUGUUCGGUCCAAAAAGAUACAAACAAUUCAAAUACAGACCUCAUCUUGACUUUAGUCAAGGCGACAUAUAUAUGUACACUUUUAAACUCUCUUAUAACACAUCUCUGGUUUUCUUAAAAGAUGAAUGUACAUUUGUCUCAUCUCAGCACGCCUUCUUCGCAUCUGAGGCAGUCGCUCGUGUGAGAAAGUCGACUACAGCCUGGUGACAUACCUUUUAGAUAUCACAUAUUUUGUGCUAGUAUCAAUGUAUACUUUUCACAUAGAAAAUAGAGUAGAGUGCAAACUUCAUUAAUACAAUGUACUAAUACAACAUUGUAUGGUCAAUCUUAAAGUACAGUACAUCAUAUUCUACGCAAUCCUGACGAUUCAACAUGUGAUCUGAACACAUCUCUUGUCAGAGGUUUUGUGAAUGGAUCAGCAACCAUCAGAUGCGUAGAUAUAUACUGUAGAAACACAUCCUUUUGUGCCACAAUGUCUCUUAUAAAAUUAUUCUUUAUAUCUAUGUGCUUUGUUCUUCCAUGAUAUUUCGGAUCCUUUACAAAAGCAAUUGCAGCUUGAUUGUCACACUGGAUUUUCACAAAGUUAAAGUUAUUUUUUGUUAUUCCCAAACUUUGUAAAAAUCUUCUCAACCAAACUGCCUCUUGUACUGCUGCUGAACAUGCUACAAAUUCAGCUUCUAUGGUUGAUAUGCAGUACAAUUUUGUUUCUUGCUAUUCCAAGAGAUGGCGCCAUCGCUAAGUAAGAAUACAUAACCAGAAGUGGAUUUGCGCUCAUCCAGAUCUCCUGCCGAAUCUGCAUCUGAAUAUCCCACCAAACGCAAACCUUUUCCUUGAUAGCACAAUGAAUAAUCUGCAAUUCCUUUGAGAUAUCUAAGGAUCCUUUUAACACCUUUCAAGUGUUUCAUGCUAGGGUUUGAUUGAUAACGGCUCACUAAACCCACGACAUAACAUAUAUCUGGCCUCGUACACAUGGUGGCAUAUAUUAGACUUCCAACAGCACUAGAGUAAGGAAUUUUAGCCAUUGCUUUUCUUUCUUCUGCAGUUUUAGGACACAUAUCAAGACUUAGGCCUUCACCCUUUGCUAUAGGAGUAUCAAUGGGAUUACAAUUCUGCAUAUUAAAUCGUUCCAAAAUUUUCUUGAUAUAAGACUCUUGUGAAAGACCCAAUAAUUUUCUAGAACGAUCUCUGUAAAUUUUCACUCCAAGAAUAUAUGCAGCAUCCCCCAUAUCCUUUAUUUCGAAAUUAGAGUGUAACCACUCUUUAAUGAUACUCAUGAAUCCUUAUCAUUUCCUGCCAACAGUAUAUCAUCAACGUAUAGAGAUAAAAUUGUAAAUUUACACUCUUCACGUUUAAUAUAUACACAAUGAUCCGCAUUGAUCAUAUUAAAAUCAUAAGAUGUUACAGCUCUAUGGAAUCUCAAAUACCAUUGUCUGGAUGAUUGUCUUAGGCCAUAUAAGGAUUUUUUUAGUUUACAAACUUUAUUUUCUUGGCCAUCAACUUCAAAACCCGAAUGUUGAUCCAUAUAAAUUUCUUCAUCCAACUCACCAUUGAGAAAAGCUGUUUUAACAUCCAUUUGAUAUAACUCUAAAUCUAAAUGAGUUACUAUGGUAAGAAUUAGACGAAUGGAGGUAAAACGCACUACCGGUGAAAAGGUUUUCUCGUAAUCAAUACCCUCUUGUUGAGUAUAAUCUUUCGCCACUAGGCGAGCCUUAUACCUUUCAAUGGAUCCAUCUGCCUUGCGUUUAAUUUUGAGAACCCAUUUGUUCCCUAUAGUCUUGCGCCCUGGUGGCAGAUCAACCAAGUCCCAGACAUGGUUGGAUUUUAUUGACUCCAUUUCUUCUUCCAUUGCAAUUUUCCAUUGUUCUUUCUCUGGGCAAGAUAAAGCAUUUCUUACAUUCUUAGGUUCGGCUUCAUCAUGUGAAGCUACCAUAAAGGCUUCACCCUCAAUCUCAAAUCGUCGUCGAGGAAUGAUUUGACGAUUGCUUCUUCGCAAUUUUAAACCAUGUGAAUCAUAUUCACUCCCACUAGGUUCAUGUGUGUCGUCACCAAUGAAGUCUUCAAUUUCACAUAAUUGAAAUUCCUUGUCAAUUUCACCUUUACUGGAAAAUUCAUCCUCUAUGAAUGUGGCAUCACGUGAUUCUAUUUCAGUUAAACCUCCCUCGGAAUGUUCACCUAAGAACACAUAACCUUUUAAUUAUUCUGAGUAUCUUAUAAAGAUACAUUUCUUCCCUUUAGGACCUAGUUUUUCAUACUUGUGGGAAGAAUCAUGGACAUAGGCUGUCGACCCCCAUGGUCGUAAAUAAGUUAAAUCAGGUCUUCUACCUGUCCAUAACUCAUAGGGAGUAGAUGCAACUGAUUUAGAAGGUAUCAUUUGAAGUAUAUAAGCUACUGUUAAAUAGGGGUGUUAACGAGCCGAACACAAGCGAGCUGGGGUCGCGCUCCGUGUUCGGUCGUUUAUUAAACGAGCCGAACACGAGCUGGCUCGUUAAAGUAUCGAGCCAAAAAAUUCAGCUGUGUUCGGCUGUUUAUUAACGAGCCAAACACGAGCUGGCUCACGAGCUGGCCAACGACAAUAAAAUAAACAAAAGAUUAAAUAUAUAUGAAAAUAAAUUUUAUAAUCUAUCAUUAGACUUUGAUAUAUUGUUGAAACUUUACAUAUAAUGAGCCUUUUUAUAAUUAAGCUCGCAUUUAUAUUUUUAUUUUUACUAAAAUUAAAUAAUAAAAUAUAUAAUAUAUUAUAUUAUUUAUUUAUUAUAUAAAAAUAUAAACUAAAUAAAUUUAUAAUAUAAAAUAUAUGUAUUCGAGCUGUUAUCGAGCAACACGACGAGCUGACCCCGCUCGUGUUCGGUCGUUUAUUAAACGGUUUUGAAAAUCCAGCUCGUGUUCGGUCGUUUACUAAACGAGGCGAGCCGAUCUCGAGCUCAUUUCGAGCCGAACACGAGUUGGCUCGCGAACAGCGAGCUGGAUUGCCACCCCUAGCUGUUAAUAAAGCAUCUCCCCAAAAGAAAAUGGAAAGAUUUGCUUGUGCCAUCAUGGAUCUAACCAUUUCUAGUAAGGUCCUAUUUCUUCUCUCUGCAACACCAUUUUGUUGCGGAGUUCCAGGAAUGGUCAGUUGCCUUUCAAUGCCCUUUUCAUUACAUAAUUAUUUGAAUUGUUCAGAUAGAUACUCCCUACCCCUAUCAGUUCUCAAAGCUUUAAUCCUUCUAUCUAACUGAUUCUCUACAAGGUUAACAUAACGUUUGAAGCAAUCCAAUGCUUCUGAUUUGUGAGCAAUCAGAUAGAUGUAACCAAAACGGGUGAAGUCAUCUAUAAAAGUAAUGAAAUAUGAUGCACCAUGUCUUGCCCUAACAUUCAUUGGACCACAUAUAUCAGAAUGAAUUAAUUGCAGUGAAUAUUCGGCUCUUGUUCCUUUACCAAAUGGUUUUCUAGUUGUUUUUCCAGCUAGACAGUGUUCACAUCUAGGCAAAUCAAUUGCAGUGAGUGAACCUAACAGACCAUGUUUAGCAAGCCUAUUCAUCCUUUCUUGACCAACAUGUCCUAGUCUAGCAUGCCAAACAUUUGUAUUCACAUUUGUAUUGCUACAAGAAGCGAUUGAUGAAAAACAACUACCAACAUAAUUAUGUAUAUUAUGUUCACAAUCCAAUACAAAGAAACCAUUUAAUAAGUAGCCAGAACCAUAAUAAACAUAGUCAUAAAAUAUGUCCAUAUGAUUGUUGCAGAAAUUUAAACCAUAGCCUAAACCUAAAAGAACAGAUACAGAGACCAAGUUUCGUCGAAUCUCUGGAGCAUAUAGGACAUCAUGUAGGAGUAAGGUUCGGCCACCACGCAACACCAACUUGCACGUGCCUAUCCCUUUUACGUCAACUUUCGCAUUGUUUCCUACAUAUAUCCAUUUAGUUCCAGUUUGGACUCGACGAUACUCUACAAAUGCACCUCGGUCUCCUGCUACAUGAUCUGUAGCUCCUGAGUCUACAAUCCACAAAGGAUAAGAAUCUGUGAGCAACACUGUACUAGAAACAUAAACAGUAUUAAGAAAAAUAGAAUAAAAUGCUACCUUUUUCUGCUCGGUACACUCACGAGCAAAGUGACCCAACUUGCCACAGUUAUAGCACUUCAUCUUACUCUUAUCUUUCUUUUUCUUCCAAAACCGUUUGCCUUUCUGAUUUACUUUGAACUUGUUCUUUUUAGGCCCCUGUCCAAUCUCUACUCCCUUCCCCUUUCUUAUACCGAGAGCCUGAAGCCCUGGGAGAACUGGAUUCAGUCAUAUAAGCAUGUACGAGACCUCUUGUAGCCUCAAGACGCUCAUCUUCCAGUUCCACAUGGCGAGCCACAUCAGCAAAAGUUUUGAUGCUGUCUUGUGAGUUAAAUUAACUUUCAUGUGCUCCCAACUAUCAGGAAGAGAGCGGAUUACUGCUUGAACUUGCUGCUCAUCAGUGAGGGCGUGUCCUGCUGACUUCAAUUCCCUUAUCAUGUUUGACAUCUCUCGUAGAUGUUGUUUGAUGGUAUGAUUAGGGCGUUUCUUAUAAGUAUCAAAUUUGAUGGUCAACUGUCUCAAUUUGAUUAUAGUUGUACCGCCAAAUUUCUCCUUUAGAUGAACCCACAUUGCAUGAGCAGUAGGAAGUUGCUCGCACUCACCAAUGAGAUCAUCAACCAUUGAACUUAUCAGAAUUCCGCGAGCAGAGGAAUCCUUUGGUUUCCAAGCACGAUAAGCUUCUUGAUCUCUUCUAUACUGAGUAGUAUUUCCUUCACCAGGGUCGGUCAUGGUAUGAUAAAUAGUUUCUAAUGCUUGUUGUUCCUCAAGAACAUAUUGAAUCUUAGUUUGCCAGAUAUUGUAAUUAUCUCCAUCCAAUUUCUCACCCUUAUUGAGAUCUGCUAUGAUAUUCUUUGAUGCCAUGGUAUUUCAAAGCUACAUAAAGACAUUGUAAAUUAAAUACUAGCACUUACAAAAAAAAUUAUCUAAAACACCUAUCACUUUAUGCUAUAUAAUGUACUAAGUUAAUCAUGAUAUAAUAUAAGAAAUAGAAUCGAAAGUUCACUAUGUUCCCAAUCAUCUUCUAUAUUCAAAUAUUAUAUUAUCACAAACUUGACGUUCAUCAUAUAGAGAGAUAAGUUCUAGAUAAAAAAAAUUCAAGAUUUCUCCAAAUCUAAGAACUCCCACUCAACUAAACAUUUAUCAAACAAAUGAAGUACUAUCAUCAUCAUCAAUGAAAGACAGUUAUGUCAUGCCAUUUAUAAUUCUAAGUAUUAAAUGAAAUGCAUAUUUUCAUUAACACAAGAAAACACUAUAUAGUGUUGAUUAAAAUGCAUAACAACAAAAAAAUAUCCUCCAUGGAUACAAAUACAAUUCGAACUAACUUAAUUUUCACCGUUAAACACUCUACACCAUGGUUCUGGAACAAUAUCAUAUGAUACUCGUUCCACAAUGUCAAGUGCUGCCUUCUCUAAGAAUAGGCCUCCAUCAGAUCUGCCAAGAGCAGUGCGCCUACCAUUUCGAAGAUUAGGAGAUAGAGCCAAAAUGUUUGUCCUUCUUAUAGCACUUGUAAUGUAAUGACGAUUAUAUGCAUUUCUAAAUCUCGAUACCAGAUCACCAUAAGAUACUAUGAAAUCAUACUUAGAUACCAGAUCACCAUAAGAUACUAUGAAAUCAUACUUAUUUUUAAAUAUAUUUCACCAAGUUUUAGCCCAAUAAUCUGGUAUUGAAUUUCUCAAUGCAAGUGCUCUCUGAAAAUCUUGAAUGAUAUAAUCGUCAUUUUCAAGCACAUUGAACAAGUCGUCUAAAAAUGAUAUAUAUUGUUCCAUGGAGUGUGACGGAUUCAUCUCAUAAGUCAUGAUGGGGCGCAAUAAUCUAUCACCACAUCUUCCCCUCAAGACUCUCUUAGUCUGAAUAGUACGUGCCAUAUCUAACAAAAAAAAUUUAUCAUUCAUGAACAUGCCAUAUCUAACAAACUUUAACAAUCAUUAGCAUGUUAAAUUUUCAAUAUAAAUAUUUUAUCUACAAUAUUAUGGCAUCAAUCAAUACAUUAUGAUGUUAAUUAAAUAAUAUAAAUUAAUUCAUAAUUUGCUAAAACUAUACAUGAGUUUAAAAUAAUUGAACCAUUAUAAAAUACUCCAUUAAAAAAAUAAAAUAACAAAUUGCUCAAUCCAAGAAUUGAACCCUAAACCUCAUGUAUACCAUAAACUUAACCCUUGCUGCCAACAACCAACAAGUCAAGUGUUAGAAUAUUAAAUAUAUACCAACUUUUAUAUAUAUAUACAGUUUCGGACGUACCAUAUUAUUACAAUCCAAUAACUCGUUUAUAUUGGAUUGGAUCUGGAAAAAAAUAUCCAUUAAUAGAAUAUUACGAACCCAUUAAGUCCGUGUUCAAUUCAUCGUACUUUCUUUUCCUGAAACGAAAAAAAAUUGAGCAAUCUACAUAUUAUUAAUUCUCAUUAUAAGAUUGACAAUACAAGUUAAAGAAUUUUUUAAAAAAAUUCUUACGUUAGAGUUAAAUCAUGUAUUCAAUCUCAAGAGAAGUAAUUUAUACAAAUUUCUCAUAUAUAAGAAAAAAUCAUUCAUAACAAGUUCCAUCGUGGAAAUAAUUAAGAGUCAAGGAUUUGGUUUAAACAUGCUCUGAUAUCAAUGAAAGUAAAAUUAAUCUAUGAAAUACCUCAAUUCCGAUUCAAAGAUCGUGAUAAAAUAGGAUCAAAUCAAACCACUCGCUCCAACGGAUCAAAUGCAAGAUCACAAGUUGGAAAUUGCACUAGUUUCCAUAACCCAAAUGUCAAAUCCUCCAAGACGAGAGUAAAUUUUAGGAAUUCAGUGAUUGAGAGAAAAUCUCAUUGGGAGAAGAAGAAGCAAAAAUGUAAGUGUUUUUUUUUUUUUUUUUUUUUUUUUUUUUUUUUUUUUUUUUUUUUUUUUUUUUUUUAACGUUACAUCCCUUCUUUCUCUCUGCACGUUUGUAACUGCUCGUACUGGGUGGUUUCCCAACCAACUAAGGAAACCACCUCUUAAUGGGAUGGGUCGGGUCAGAUUUGCCUAUUAUGGACGACCCGAAACCCGAUUAAAAAACCAACAUAUAUAUAUAUAUAUAUAUAUAUAUAUAUAUAUAGAGUAUGACUACUGUGCUAUUAGGAGCACAGCAGCCCUUGUGCUCCUAAGUUUUUAACCGCCCAUCAAAUUUAAUGGAUGGUUAGUACGAUAUAUAUAUAUAUAUAUAUAUCGUACUUAUUAGAAUAAUAAAUUGGAUCUUCCAACUAUAACAAAUAAUAAAGUUUGAUACGUCAUAAUUUCUUAUUUACAAACAUUAUAAUUUGAUUUUUUUUUAUUUUUAAACAGGGCUAGACCCUAUUUAAAGGAAUUUUAUUAUUUAUUACCUACCGCCAUGCUCUUUUAAUUCAUGAGCAGUGCCUGCUAGGGCUGGCAAACGAGCGAGCCGGCUCGCGUUCGACUCGUGUUCGGCUCGAUAUUCGGCUCGCUCGAGCUCGACUCGAAAUUAAAUGAGCCGAGCUUGAACAAAAUAAAAGGCUCGAAAUUCAUUUCAAGCCGAGCUUGAGUAUUACUCGGCUCGUUCGAAUUAGGCUCGAAAAGCUCGAAAAGCUCGAAUAUAUAUAUAUAUAUAUAUAUUAGAUUCUAGUUAGGACUGGACUACUAUGCCUAGCAUAAUUUCAUUGUUGCCUACCAUGUUUUUUUAGCUUUGGAUCAUCUUUUCAUUAUUUCUAACUAAUCGGAUUAAAAUCGUAUAACCCCAGUGGGAACCACUCAAUCCCUAGGAGGCACUUGAAUUUAACAAUAUAUAUUCUGACCAUACAAUUUUUUCAUUCAAGGAUUUAAAAACUUGAUAGCAAAAGGCAUUUUCUAUUAUUAGUAUUCCAGCUAAUCUAAAUAUAUAUAUAUUAUAUCUAUAUUAUAUAUUAUAUAAUAUAUUAUAUAUAUAUACAUAAUAUAAAAUAGAAUAUAAAUAAAUAAAAAUUUAACUUUGGGCCAUUAUUGUUGGUCAUAAAAAACCCAAAAAAGUAACACCGAUAAGCAAAAAUUGAGCCCAUUUUAAUUUACAUAACAACCUCGUCUUUAGACUUUCACUGUUGCAAAAUUACCCUAAAAUAUUGAUAAAUUCAAUUCCCAAAUCCCUAAUUCUCCCCCCACUUCUCUCUUCUCUCUCGUUUCUUCUGCUCUUCGACUCUCAAACCAAAAAGUCAGAAGCAGUCACCCUAGCUCACAUUUCUUGCAAUUAUUUUGUAUUUUGAACUAUUGGACAUAUUAUAUCAAAUUGUAGGUAAUGUUCUAUAAAAAUUAAACUAUUGAUUAUAUAAUGUCGAGAAUUUCAAUCGGCUCGUUUAGAACUCGAGCUCGGCUCGACUCGAAAUUAGGCUCGCUCGAGCUCAGCUCGAAUUAAUUUCAAGCCGAGCUUGAGCCUAGAUUUAGGCUCGAAAUUAAUUUCAAGCCGAAUUUGAGCUGACAUAAGCUCGCUCGAGCUCGGCUCGUUUCCACCCCUAGUGCCUGCUGGCGCUGCCAUGGGCUCUCUCAAGUCAUGACUCGGAGGCCCGUGCCAUGUUGGCCUCUCCAAAUCUUUGCGCAAUGGACCAAGAGAAUUCUAAAAGACAAUUCAACAAACACUCAGGUAGACUGUAAUAAACUACUAGCGAACGGACCAAUUCUGUUAAACUAAAUAAUAAAUAAAUUAAAAAAUAAAAAAAUAAAAAAAAUCAAAGAAUAAAAGAGAAUAUAAAUAAAAAAAUUGAAGAAGAAGCUGAAUUAAAAAAUAAAAAUAUAAGGAGAAUAAAAAUAAAAGAUUAUAAGAAUAAUAAAUUAUAUUUAUAGCAACAGUAAAAUUUUUGGAUUAAAAUACCACAUGCAUUAUAGUUCGAGAUAGAAAUUAUAAUUAAUUAAAGUUUGAAAAUUAAAGCGUCACAUGCUUAAUAGUUUGAGCAAAAAAAAGAAUAUGCAUGAAAAUUUGAAGACUAAAAUGUCGCACUUCUUAUAGUUUGGAAUCAAAAGUAUACUUUAUCUUUUUUAUAUUUUAAUUUUAUUACGAAUGAAGACAAAACUGUCCAUCGAUCAAUUUUGUUUAAUUAGUAAUUUCAUUCCAUGAACGAAUAUGUUAAACUAUCUAAUAAAUUUUAAAAUAUCUUAUUAUUAUUAUUAAAUUAAAAGUCAAUCAAUCAUAUUUUAGAUAUUUUAAAAAAUUCUAAGUGUGAAAUUAAUCGCUCACCACACUAUAAAUAUGAUAUUAAAUUAAUUUUGAUAUUAAAAUCAAAAUAAAAUUAUAUAAAAUUUUUCUAAAUUAUGAAUUAUUUUGAAUCAGCUAUUCAAUCUUUCAAGAUUUUAUUUUUAUUAUCCAACGUGUCUACAUGUCAUCAAAGAAACUUUUAUUUCAAAAUUUAAAUACGUCGUUUAGUUUUACAUAUUUAAUUAAUAUACUUUAUAUAAUUCUUAUGACUAAAUUUAUUAAAAUAGGUAUUAAUUUAAUCUUCUUCAAUCUCUCUUUUAUUUUUAUUAUACAAUUUAUAUCUGAAUGAUUAAUAUUAUAAAAAUUAAAUUUUAUAUUUAAUAUAUGUAAUCUAAACUAUUUAAAAAUUAUCUAUAAAAAUUUAUAUAUUUUAAAUUUUUAUAAUAAGAGAAAAAAUUAGAUUGAAUAAAAAAAAAUAAAAUCUCAAUUUUCUCAAUUCAAAAAAGUAGAGAGAAAACAAAAUAAAAAUAAAAAAAAUUUAAAAAAUGGGCCACCACACCCUCCCGGCCCCUCUCCCACCUGCCUGGCCCCACACCCAUCUUCGCCGCCUUCGCUCUCGCACCCGCACCACUUCUCUGCCACGUGUUCGAAAGGACUGAAGAUUCAUUAUAUAGAUAAAUAGAUUGAUAGAUAUAGAUAAAUAGAUAGAUAAAUAUAUACACAAUUGUCACAUAAUUACGUGGAAAACCACCUCGGUGGGAGGGAGAAAAAACAACGGGUCAAACUCCCCAGAUGCUUCACGAUUGAAAUAAUGGGAGUACAAUGCUUUCUUCAUUAGUCUCACUAGAGGAUCAUCUGCAUUAAGAGAUCAAUCUCUCUUCGUUUAUAUGCAUCACUUAUAAUUAGAUUGGUCAAAAUACUCUCACCAAAUGAGGUGGAAAAACCAAAGAAAAAAGAAUGAGAUUAUGAUAGAAAACACACAACUCUCUUGACCAUUUCCUUCACUCCAGUGACACACACCAAAUCUUCCAUAUGAAGGGAUGCACCGAGAAGAGAGUUGGAAGAAGAGAGCACCGAAAUUUUUCUCAACCUCUUAUCCCAGUAGAGACAAGUUAUCCCAUCCACGCUAAUUAGUAUAGCUUUACUAAGCCCCUACCAGAAAAGGCCCAAAUCUCACUUAAAUUUAAGUGAGCUAAUCUCCUCAUAGUGAUAAGCAUAACCUAUUUGGGCCAAUACUCAGUUCGGCAUGGCAGGGUACUUUUGUUCUUAUUUUUUUUUGUUUUUAGGUAAAAAUGUACAAAACUUAUAGAAAUUAUAAACUAUUUUAAAUUAGUGAUUCAAUUUUUUAAAACUUUGAUUUGACUACCUAACAAGUCAAUUUGUUUGAUUUGAGUCAAUCAAUAACACUUCGAUAUCAAAAUUUGAAUGCUUUAUGUUAUAUUUGGUUUAGAUUUGUAGUUAUCUAAUUCUGUGGAUAAAUCCUAAUCUAAUUGGGAUUAGAUAUUAUUUAGAUAGGAGAGGACGGGUGGCGCUGUAAUGUUUCGAAGUUUCUCACGACUAGGGGUUGUGUUUUCGUUUCGUCAUUACUCUUGGUUGUAAUCCUCAAAGAAUAGAAAGGGACCUGAUAUCCUAGUUUGUUAAAAUCGGAUACGGCGAAAAAUAAGAUCAGAAAAUAAGUUAAUGCAAGAAAAGAAAAUAGAUAAGGAAAGAAAUCAUCCGAUUUAUUUACGGUGGUUCGCCACGGCCUAUCGUCCACGUGGCGAAGACGGAGCAAAUUUACUUUAUUAAUGUCUAAAAGGCGGAGUAUCAAGAAUAUCACCCGAAAGAUCGAAAACCAAAAGUAAAUAUAUAUGUUUCGACGCGCGUUACGCAUAUGGCACCGUUUCCUAGCUACGUUUUCCGGUAUCAAUUUAUUUUUAUCUUUGGUUCGUCUCACCUUUUAGAAACGAGGAUUGUACGGUCACUUGGCUUUUGAAUUUUUGUUUGUUGUUCCACCUGGUAUUUCUGUACCAUCACAACUUCACUUUAAUUAAUUAGAUGCAAUCAACUCCUGUCCCAAACUAGAAAGCAAGCAACGCUCACCACUUAUUAAAAAUCAAGCAUUGCAAAUUAACCGCCGGCUUCUUUGCAUAAAAUCAGAACCUCUUAUAUGCAAGCCUGAAUAUUGAGUCGCAGGCUAAAACAAAGUAGCUAUGUAUAUAAGAAAUCAUAUCUCCCAACUGAGAGAGAGAGUCUAAUUCUCAUAUUCAAUUAAUAUAUUAUACUACCAAUUAUAGAUCACAUAUAUGCAAAUUAUAAAUNNNNNNNNNNNNNNNNNNNNNNNNNNNNNNNNNNNNNNNNNNNNNNNNNNNNNNNNNNNNNNNNNNNNNNNNNNNNNNNNNNNNNNNNNNNNNNNNNNNNGGGGGAGAGAGAGAACAGAGGGAGAGAGAGAGAGAGAGAGCAGACAGAGAGAGAGAGAGGCCCCUCUCUCUCCCCCACGUGCCCUCAACCCGCACCCGGCGGGUGCGGGCCGCGCCGGGGGGUUCCCGGCCCGCGGCCCCCGCGCGCGCCUUUCCUCCCUCCUCUUCCUCUUUACCACUCCCUCCUCCCCCACUGCUCUCUCCCUCUCUUUCCCCCCCCACCCCCCUCUCCCCUCUCUUCCCUCUUUUACUCCCCCCGCCAUCUCUCUCUCUCUCUCUCUCUCUCUCUCUCCCUCUCCCCAGCGGGCGGCAGCGGGAGGCGAAGGCGGAGGCGCGGGCGGGCAGCAGUGGGACGCGGAGCCGCGGGGGGCAGCAGCAGGCCUGGCGCGCUGGCGCGGGCCAGGCAGCGGGGCGGGCGCGCGGGCGCGCACCGACGGGAGGGGGGGAGAGGGUGGGGAAAGGGAGAGAUGGGAAGAGAGAGAGAGGAAGAGAGAGAAAGAGAGAGAGACAAGGAGUCAGAGGAGAAAGAGAAAGAGAGAGGGAGAGAGAGAAUUUUACAACUUUAAAUUUUAAAUUUUAUAUAUAAAUUUUAAAUUUUAGAUUUUAAAUUUUAAAUUUAAUCUAUAUACAUAUCUAAUUUUAUUUAUAAAUAUAUAUUUAUUUACUAUAUAUAAUUUUUAUAUUUAAUUUUUUUGUGUUUAAAAUUUUAAAUUAGAUUUAAAAAUUAAAACAUUAAAAAUAUUAUUUAAAAUAUUUUAAAAAUUAUGUAAAUUUUUCGCCGCGAAGCGCGGGCCUCCACUAGUAGGGAAAGAGAUAGAGUGGAGAUUAGUAGAAGCGACAGAGAAAUGAAGUUAGAGGAAGAAGGAAAGAGUUUAGAUUUAGAGAGAGAUGAGGUUAGAGAGUAAAAAAGAAUAGCAGGUGGUGGACAUCUCAGCAAAUGACUGGUGGGUGGGGAGGGAGAAAAAGAGUGGAUUGGAUUAGAAAUUUUAUAAUUAUUUCAAUCCAUUAUUAUGAGAAUACCUACCCUCUCUUAAAAAAAAAAGAUUAUUACUAUAGGAUAAAUUUUAUUUCCAAAUGAACCCAACACUAAUAACAUUACUUGAUGUAAUUAGCCAAACACCAUAAUAUUUUCUUUAGACUUGUUGGAUUAUAAGGAACCAGAAAAAGAUAAUGUGAAUGAAACAAACCCUUAGGCUGCGUUUGGCUCGGGAACAAGGGGAGGAAUAAGUCCUUGUUCCCUUUUUUCCUGGAACAAGUUUGUUUCCGGAUGAGAACAGGGUUAAUUAAAGUCUAAAUUUAAUUUUAAUGACAGUAAAUCUUUAAUUAAUCUAAUUAAUAUAUUUAAAUUAUUAUUUAUUACUUAAAUAAUAAAAAUAAAUAAAUAAUUUAUUAUUUAUUAUUAAUUAUUAUUAAUUAGAUAAUUAUUAUUAUUAAUUUAUUAUUUAUAAUUAAUUAUUAAUAAUUUUUUAUAAUUAUUAUUAUUUAUUAAUAACUAUUAUUAUUAAUAAUUAGAUAAUCGAUAUUAUUAUUAAUUUAUUAUUUAUAAUUAUUUAUUAAUAAUUAUUAUUUAAUAAUAAUUAUUAUUAAUAAUUAUUAUUAUUUACAAUUAAUUAUUAAUAAUUUAUUUAUUAUUUAUUUUUAAGUAAUAUUUUGAUAUUAACUAAUUAGAUAAUAUAAUUUUAAUUUCAAAUUAUAACUCUUAUUCAUUUUGUUCUAAUCUAACCAUCCAAAUACUAUCUAUCUUAUUCCUAGGAACAAUCAAAUUUUCAUCCAAACGCAAAAUUGGUCUAGUUCCUACUUAUAUCUGAACUUGUACAUAUCCCUAGAACAAACAAUUCUUAAUUAUACCCGAACCAAACGCAGCCUUAAUAUAUUAUAUCCUA